UACGUAGGGUGCAAGCGUUAAUCGGAAUUACUGGGGCGUAAAGCGUGCGCAGGCGGUGAUGUAAGACAGAGUGUGAAAUCCCCGGGCUCAGCCUGGGAACUGACAUUUGUGACUGCAUCGCUGGAGUACGGCAGAGGGGGAUGGAAUUCCGCGUAGUAGCAGUGAAAUGCGUAGAUAAUCCGAAGGAACAUCAGUGGCGAAAGCGGCUUCCUGGACCAGAACUGACGAUACAGGCACGGAAAGCGUGGGGAGCAAACAGG
rnacentral:rRNA from 1 species